CAAACGACUCUCGGCAACGGAUAUCUCGGCUCACGCAUCGAUGAAGAACGUAGCAAAAUGCGAUACUUGGUGUGAAUUGCAGAAUCCCGUGAACCAUCGAGUUUUUGAACGCAAGUUGCGCCCGAAGCCUUUUGGCCGAGGGCACGUCUGCUUGGGCGUCACAC
rnacentral:rRNA from 1 species